GACGAACGCUGGCGGCGUGCUUAACACAUGCAAGUCGAACGGAAAGGCCCUGCUUUUGUGGGGUGCUCGAGUGGCGAACGGGUGAGUAACACGUGAGUAACCUGCCCUUGACUUUGGGAUAACUUCAGGAAACUGGGGCUAAUCCCGGAUAGGAGCUCCUGCUGCAUGGUGGGGGUUGGAAAGUUUCGGCGGUUGGGGAUGGACUCGCGGCUUAUCGGCUUGUUGGUGGGGUAGUGGCUUACCAAGGCUUUGACGGGUAGCCGGCCUGAGAGGGGGACCGGCCAAAUUGGGACUGAGAUACGGCCCAGACUCCUACGGGACGCAGCAGUGGGGAAUAGUGCACAAUGGGCGGAAGCCUGAUGCAGCAACGCCGCGUGCGGGAUGACGUCAUUCGGGUUGUAAACCGAUUUCGCCUGUGACGAAGCGUGAGUGACGGUAAUGGGUAAAGAAGCACCGGCUAACUACGUG
rnacentral:rRNA from 1 species